rnacentral:rRNA from 1 species
CAGUAGCCGCGGUAAUACGAAGGGUGCAAGCGUUAAUCGGAAUUACUGGGCGUAAAGCGUGCGUAGGCGGUGAGUUAAGUCUGCUGUGAAAUCCCCGGGCUCAACCUGGGAAUGGCAGUGGAUACUGGCUCGCUAGAGUGUGUCAGAGGAGGGUGGAAUUCCCGGUGUAGCGGUGAAAUGCGUAGAGAUCGGGAGGAACAUCAGUGGCGAAGGCGGCCAUCUGGGACAACACUGACGCUGAGGCACGAAAGCGUGGGGAGCAAACAGGAUUAGAUACCCGCGUAGUCCCUGUCUCUUAUAC